CAACCUGCCUCAUACAGGGGGAUAACAGUUAGAAAUGACUGCUAAUACCGCAUAAGCGCACAGCAUCGCAUGAUGCCGUGUGAAAAACUCCGGUGGUAUGAGAUGGACCCGCGUCUGAUUAGCUAGUUGGUGAGGUAACGGCCCACCAAGGCGACGAUCAGUAGCCGACCUGAGAGGGUGACCGGCCACAUUGGGACUGAGACACGGCCCAA
rnacentral:rRNA from 1 species